UUCCAUUUCUCAUUAACUUCUACAAUUAGAACUUUAGUCAAUUCAGUUAUAGUUCUAACUGCAGUAUUUGAAUCUUUUUAUAUAAUUCUAACUGCAAUAGUUGAACUAAACUGCACUAAACGAAUUACAGACUUUGAGUUCACAUAUAAUUAUAAUUACAGUUCACAAAAUUUUAGUUCGCAUGCCGUUACAAUUAUACUACUGUUGUAACUAAAUGCAAUUAAACAAUCCUAUAUUGUAUCUUAAAUUAAUUAUAUUAUGUCAUCUAAUAUAGUAAAAAAUUUUAAUUAUAAAUAUUUUUAAUAUUUUACAGUAUACACAGUAUUUAUAAAAAUAUUUAAUUAUUUUUAUAGAAUAAUUAUGAUAAAAGAAGAUUUUUUUUGAAGCAAUGUUGACCACAGCCUACAGACGGUCUUCCAAGCACAAUUAUUGCACAAUUAUUGACCACAACAUUUCUCUAUUCUAAUAUAAUAUAAUCGAUACCAGUGAAGGUACACGUGCGUUGCGACAGAAUAAUUUCACAAUAAAUAAAUAAAAAAAUAAAAUUAAAUAAAAAAUAUUAAAAAUAUAUGAAAAAUAAAGAAAUAAAUUAAAAAAUAAAACAUAAAAAAGUAAAAGAAAUUGAAAAUAAAAGCAUAAUAUAGACAAAAAAAAAAUAAAGGUAAAACUGUAAGAAUCAUAAAUUAUAUUUAUAGUAUCAAUAAAAAUUGAGGACUAAACUAUAAGAAUAAGAAAUUGUAGUUUAAAUGAACAUUAAAUUUCAUCAAUCUCUCUCUUAUUUUUUUGAUGUAUAACAUAUUUUUGAACAAUCAGUACUAUAAAAUUAAGAAUUAUAUUUCCAACUAAGUUUAUUUUUAAAUAAAAUAAACGAAACGAAUAGCCCAUUUUCCUUCCAACUGCCACCUGGACCAUCAACUGUGAAUUCGAUUUGCAAUAAUAGCAACUAACUGCAUGGGGCAGAAGCAGAAUCAACUACCACUCGAGUACAACAAUGGUAAAUUCAUUGCAUGGAAACGUCUUACAAAAAAGUUAUCUUUUCAGGGUAAAAAUCUCUUUGGUUUUGUUGAUAUAUAUAACAUCAAACGAUUUAAUUUUAAAAAAAACUUCAAAUACCCCCCUCGUGGUUUCACUCUUUCUUACUUUAGUACCAUGUGGUUUAAAGUAUAUCAAUUUAGUACACUGUAGUUUCGCAUUUUUUCACUUUGGUAUCCUGUGGUUUCGUACUUUCUUUCUUUAGUAUCCUGUGGUUUAAAAAUUACAGAAUACUAAUUUGAUACAAAAAUAAAACCAUAUGGUACUAACUUAAUAUACUUUAGAAGAUAAACUAAGGGUACUAACUAUAUA
rnacentral:lncRNA from 1 species